rnacentral:lncRNA from 1 species
AUUGAUGAGUUGAAGGAGAGAAAUAACUACCGCACCACCCAGCAACUCAGACCCUCCAGUUGUGUUAUUUGUUUAUGAUUGGUUGUAGUACUGGUUAGUAGUUAGUAUAUGAAAAAGCAUGUGUAUGCUCCUUUUGUGCUCUUGGUUUCCUUCUCUGCUCCCCUUCCUUGUGCUCUUUGACCCGAAUAUUGGUCUAUAUGGAUCUUGUGAUGCAAGCAUCGAUUUAUUGUUCUUGCGACGUUAGCCAUCAAGCUAUGGCUCUUGUGACACCGCCCAUGGAGCUGGGGAAAGAUUGUUUGGUUGUGAUAUUAGAAACGGUAUUGUCAUUUUGCAAGGAGAGACUCAGAGAAAAUUAUAGAAGUUAGUAUUAGAUGAUAAUAAUGUUAUAUCGUAAUACAUGUUAGCUACACAGGUGUACCCUGCAAGAAAUUACUUCACAAUAGAAAUGCAGACACAUCCCUGAAAAUAAACUGCGACAUCCCUAAAAAAAGACAUCAUUCAUGGGAGUUAAGAAUUGUUGUGGUGUUUCUCUGAAGCGGUUAAUCCAUGUUGUUUAUUCUUGCAGAUUGACUAGAUGAACCAGUUUAUUUAUGAUAUGUGGCAUUUCCUGGUAAGAUUUUUAACAAACCUUUUAGAGUGUUAUUCACUCCCUCGUCAAAUCUGUGUGAUGUAUAAACAUGAUCAGCCUAAUAGCUCUCCUCUGUUUAUAACAGACAAUAUGCAAAAUAAUAAGAAGUGUGNNNNNNNNNNAGAUCUUGUGAUGCAAGCAUCGAUUUAUUGUUCUUGCGACGUCAGCCAUCAAGCUAUGGCUCCUGUGACACCACCCAUGGAGCUGGGGAAAGAUUGUUUGGUUGUGAUAUUAGAGACGGUAUUGUCAUUUUCCAAGGAGAGAUUCAGAGAAAAUUAUAGAAGUUAGUAUUAGAGGAUAAUAAUGUUAUAUCGGAAUACAUGUUAUCUACACAGGUGUACCCUGCAAGAAAUUACUUCACAAUAGAAAUGCAGGCACGUCCUGAAAAUAAACCGCGACAUCCCUAAAAAAAGACAUCAUUCAUGGGAGUUAAGAAUUGUUGUGGUGUUUCUUUGAAGCAGUUAAUCCAUGUUGUUUAUUCUUGCAGAUUGACUAGAUGAACUAGUUUAUUUAUGAUAUGUGGCAUUUUCUGGUAAGAUUUUUAACAAACCUUUUAGAGUGUUAUUCACUCCCUCAUCAAUCUGUGUGAUGUAUAAACAUGAUCAGCCUAAUCGCUCUCCUCUGUUUAUAACAGACAAUAUGCAAAAUAAUAAGAAGUGUGGCGAAGACAAUACAAUAUGCGGUCAAUAUGUUGGAAAAUUUAUUAUAGAAUCAAUUGAAUUAGUAAACUUGAUACUUGGUGUUCUUCAACCUUUGCUCCAAGUAGAUUAGAUUAGCACACCAAUUUAAAUCUUUAUUGUAUAGACAUCGCUCGUUGUAGUCCGAUUGAAUCAUACUAUAAGAUUUUUUUUCCUUUUUUGAGAAUAUCGUAAGAUUGUUUUAAGGAGGUUUUACAUUAAAGAAAUCNNNNNNNNNNACUCGUUGUAGUCCGAUUGAAUCAUGCUAUAAGAUUUUUUCCUUUUCUGAGAAUAUCGUAAGAUUGUUUUAAGGAGGUUUUACAUUAAAGAAAUCAACGUCUAAAACCAAUUGUUCCUGAAAUUUCAAUCUGUGGUACGCAUUCACUACUUUUGUUCCUAUACAAUUUAUUUGAGAUUGUUGUACAUCGGUCCCAACCUUUUAUAGCAUCAUCUCCCUCUACGUUUGCUUGAUUAAAUAAACAUUAAUUGAAGUUUAUGGAAUGCGUGAAAAAUAAUUUGUAAUUGAAUCUAGGUUCAGUGAUUCUGUGAAUGUGAAGGUCCAUUCUUACAACUUGUCCGCGCAUACAAACAUAAAGAUUAGACAACACCUUGGAUUGGUCUUUCUAUUAACUUGUGGUCAUCAAACACAUUUAUGUCGUGCUCUGNNNNNNNNNNCUGUUCCUGAAAUUUCAAUCUGUGGUACGCAUUCGCUACUUCUGUUCCUAUACAAUUUUAUUUGAGAUUGUUGUACAUUGGUCCCAGCCUUUUAUAGCAUGAUCUCCCUCUACGUUUGAUUGAUUAAACAAACAUUAAUUGAAGUUGAUGGAAUGCGUGAAAAAAUAAUUUGUAAUUGAAUCUUGGUUCAGUAAUUCUGUGAAUGUGAAAGUCCAUUCUUACAACUUGUCCGCGCAUACAAACAUGAAGAUUAGACAACACCUUGGAUUUGUCUUUCUAUUAACUUGUGGUCAUCAAACACAUUUAUGUCGUGCUCUGUACAUAUGCUCUAGAGCAAACAAGCAAUGAUAGUGAACUAUAGUUUCUGGGGUAUCACGCCCAUUUAAACUGAAGGUGCAAGUUCAGGCGGUGUUUUUUUUUUUC